GGAGGGGUGGCGGAGCGGUUUAACGCGCCGGUCCUGAAAACCGGAGGCCUAUCCAGGUCCGUGGGUUCGAAUCCUACCCCCUCCGCCA
rnacentral:tRNA from 1 species